rnacentral:rRNA from 1 species
GAUGAACGCUGGCGGCGUGCCUAAUACAUGCAAGUCGAGCGAACAGAUAAGGAGCUUGCUCCUUUGACGUUAGCGGCGGACGGGUGAGUAACACGUGGAUAACCUACCUAUAAGACUGGGAUAACUUCGGGAAACCGGAGCUAAUACCGGAUAACAUAUUGAACCGCAUGGUUCAAUAGUGAAAGGCGGCUUUGCUGUCACUUAUAGAUGGAUCCGCGCCGUAUUAGCUAGUUGGUAAGGUAACGGCUUACCAAGGCAACGAUACGUAGCCGACCUGAGAGGGUGAUCGGUCACACUGGAACUGAGACACGGUCCAGACUCCUACGGGAGGCAGCAGUAGGGAAUCUUCCGCAAUGGGCGAAAGCCUGACGGAGCAACGCCGCGUGAGUGAUGAAGGUCUUCGGAUCGUAAAACUCUGUUAUCAGGGAAGAACAAAUGUGUAAGUAACUGUGCACAUCUUGACGGUACCUGAUCAGAAAGCCACGGCUAACUACGUG